ACGGAAGGCAGCAGUGAGGAAUAUUGGUCAAUGGUCGGAAGACUGAACCAGCCAAGUCGCGUGCAGGAAGACGGUCCUAUGGAUUGUAAACUGCUUUUGUACGGGAAUAAAGUGGGGGACGUGUCCCUUUUGGAAUGUACCGUAAGAAUAAGGGUCGGCUAACUCCGUGCCAGCAGCCGCGGUAAUACGGAGGACCCGAGCGUUAUCCGGAUUUAUUGGGUUUAAAGGGUGCGCAGGCGGAGGAUUAAGUCAGCGGUGAAAUUCUCAUGCUCAACAUGAGAACUGCCAUUGAUACUGGUCCCCUUGAGAGAUGUCGAGGAUGGCGGAAUGUGAUGUGUAGCGGUGAAAUGCUUAGAUACGCUGCAGAACUCCGAUUGCGAAGGCAGCUGUCCAGAGAUGCAAUGACGCUCAGGCACGAAAGCAUGGGGAUCGAACAGGAUUAGAUACCCUGGUA
rnacentral:rRNA from 1 species